rnacentral:lncRNA from 1 species
ACGAGCAGGUGUUUGCGGACAAUGAAGCACAGUGGUUGUUUUCUACAGAAUGGCUUCAGAAAGGGAUGAGAUCUCGUUCCACAACUGGACAACAACUUGUUACACAAGAGAAUGUUGCUGCCUUUGACUCAGACUGUAGAGUCCUAACCUUUCAGGGUAGGCAGAGUUUUGAGUCUAAUGCUCACUUGGAUAAGAUAGAAACUCCAACAAAGAAGAGAACUACAGGCCACGCUCGGUUCCGGUGUUUGUCUUCCACAAAUAAAGCUUCUGAGCAGUCACAAGUAGGAUGGUAUAGCAGACAGACGCAAGUGGCCUCAAGCAGAAAGAAACGAACCACUAAGUCUCAGACCAAACAGCUCACACUUCUCCCUAAUCACUGCCACUUUCCACCUUCAUUUGCUGGUAAUGAUAUUUUACUCACUCUUUCUUAAAUCUUGAACUUAAUAAAUGCAGACUAUUUUGUUGCUAAUGUUCUUUGCAGCAGGACUAGCUCCAGAAGCUAUUUGGCAGCAACGCCACUCUAUUGAAGCAAUCAGCGAGCUAAUGCGUCUACUAGACAUCAACAGAGAGUACUCAGAAACUGCUCUUGUUCCUUACGGAAUGAACAGCAGUUACAGCGUAGGAAACCAGAUUGUGAUCUUCAACGGUGGCGCUGGAGCUAUAGUGCCUUCGACUCGCGUUAAGAAGCCGCGGCGCGAACGUGCAAAGGUUCAUAUAGAUAAUGAGACGGAUAGAGUGUGGAAGCUUUUGAUGGAGAGUAUUGAUAGCGAAGGUGUUGAUGGAUCAGAUGAGAAGAAGGCCAAAUGGUGGGAGGAAGAACGUAAUGUGUUUAGAGGAAGAGCUGACUCAUUCAUAGCACGAAUGCAUCUUGUUCAAGGUAACUACACACCACAUGUUUUUCUUACAAGUGUUUGAUCUCUUAGUUAUAACUUGUUGUUAUGGUCUUUGGUUGCUAACAGGUGAUAGACGUUUUACACCAUGGAAAGGAUCAGUUGUUGAUUCUGUGGUUGGAGUGUUUCUCACUCAAAACGUUUCUGAUCAUCUCUCAAGGUAUAAGCUCUUACAUGGUUCUAUGUCUUUACUUAGUCUAAGACAACUAACUUCUUUUCUUUGUCUCUAGCUCUGCGUUUAUGUCACUGGCUGCGGAGUAUCCUGUACCUUUUGUACCCAGCAGUGAUUUUGAAGUAGGAGAAAGCUCCAUGCCUUCUAUCAGGAUAACCUACUUGGACUCGGAUGAACCGAUCUCAAACCCACCAGUUCCCAGUGAGGUUUCUGCUGCUUUAAACAUCACACAGCCUGAUGAGGAGAAGGAGUAUGUGAACAGCAAUGACACCUCAAGGAGCAGCAGUGAGAUCGCCAGCUCAGGGAAUGAGUCAACUGUCAAAACUACAGAUUCAAAGGCGCAGGUGGAUUCAGACAGAACUGGCUCAAGCGUGGAAGUUAGCAAGACAGUUCUUAUUGUCCAAGAGCUGUUUCCAUCUGAAGAUUCUGUACUCACAUGUCAGAACUCGUUGGUUUCUGAAACUCCUAAGAAGACAGAGAGAGCAGGAUCAAGCUCUGAGAUCAACUCAGAAGCGGAGAAUUGUACACACUUUGUGAAGCUCCUAGAGUCCCAGCAACAAUACGAGCAGGUGUUUGCGGACAAUGAAGCACAGUGGUUGUUUUCUACAGAAUGGCUUCAGAAAGGGAUGAGAUCUCGUUCCACAACUGGACAACAACUUGUUACACAAGAGAAUGUUGCUGCCUUUGACUCAGACUGUAGAGUCCUAACCUUUCAGGGUAGGCAGAGUUUUGAGUCUAAUGCUCACUUGGAUAAGAUAGAAACUCCAACAAAGAAGAGAACUACAGGCCACGCUCGGUUCCGGUGUUUGUCUUCCACAAAUAAAGCUUCUGAGCAGUCACAAGUAGGAUGGUAUAGCAG